rnacentral:rRNA from 1 species
UGCGGAGGGGGCUAGCGUUGUUCGGAAUUACUGGGCGUAAAGCGCACGUAGGCGGCUUUGCAAGUCAGAGGUGAAAGCCCGGGGCUCAACCCCGGAAUUGCCUUUGAGACUGCAUCGCUAGAAUUGUGGAGAGGUAAGUGGAAUUCCGAGUGUAGAGGUGAAAUUCGUAGAUAUUCGGAAGAACACCAGUGGCGAAGGCGACUUACUGGACACAUAUUGACGCUGAGGUGCGAAAGCGUGGGGAGCAAACAGG